rnacentral:rRNA from 1 species
GACGAACGCUGGCGGCGUGCUUAACACAUGCAAGUCGAACGGAAAGGCCCUGCUUUUGUGGGGUGCUCGAGUGGCGAACGGGUGAGUAACACGUGAGUAACCUGCCCUUGACUUUGGGAUAACUUCAGGAAACUGGGGCUAAUACAGGACAGGAGCUCCUGCUGCAUGGUGGGGGUUGGAAAGUUUCGGCGGUUGGGGAUGGACUCGCGGCUUAUCAGCUUGUUGGUGGGGUAGUGGCUUACCAAGGCUUUGACGGGUAGCCGGCCUGAGAGGGUGACCGGCCACAUUGGGACUGAGAUACGGCCCAGACUCCUACGGGAGGCAGCAGUGGGGAAUAUUGCACAAUGGGCGGAAGCCUGAUGCAGCAACGCCGCGUGCGGGAUGACGGCCUUCGGGUUGUAAACCGCUUUCGCCUGUGACGAAGCGUGAGUGACGGUAAUGGGUAAAGAAGCACCGGCUAACUACGUG